CUUGAAAUGAAGAAAUUUGAAGGUGCAACUAUAAGGUAAGACAUUUAUUGGGGGGGGGGGGAUUCCGUGGGGGGUUUGUUGUUUGUUGUUCAUUUUUUUGCGAACAAGAAAUUCCUACUUAGUUCCGGGGCAUUUGUCUGCCUAUAGUUGCGCUGUCUCCCUUAAUUGUGAGGAUUGUGUUGUUUUGGGGGCGUAUCUCGCUUCCAAAAAUAGUGGAAUUUUUUUCACCAAUUUUUGGCGAAAUUUGUGGAAGCUAUGUCCUGGCUGCUGUGUUCUUGUUGCUAUUUGUUUGCUGUGUUCUUGUUGCUUUUUGUGCUGUUUUUCUUGAACUAUUUUCUUUCCUUCUUCUUUAUUCUUUGUGUCUUUCUUUUGAACUUGUUUCUUACAAGAACAUGGCGAAGAAACAAGACACUGUGUUGGAGUGGGAGAUUGUCCCACACAAAGAGUGGGUGAAAAAUUUGGAAGAUAUGACGGUCUUUUUGAGGACAUACUCAAAGUCGCUCGACACCAUCACCGACUUCAAGAAAAUUGUGAUUAAGGAAGAGUUGGCAAGAUCAAUGUUUGAAUGUUUACAUUAUCUGUUUAAACUUUAUAUUACAGCAGAAAAUACGGUUAGUAUUUUCUAAAUCGAAAGGAACAAAAUGAUUAGACAGAAAUAGUUCUUUUUAUCUCUUUGUUACAAAUUACAUUUCUCUCCAAUCACUUCAUUCCUUCCAGCUGAGAAAAUACUAACCGUAUUUUCCGGUGUAAUAUAUAAUCUAAACAUGUAGUGUAAGCAUUCAAACAUUGUCACUAUCUUUGCAUAUCCUGUUGCAUUUCAUAUGAAAUUUUUGGUCUUCUAAAGUCAUCUUGGUAUAUAAGUACGCCUGCUUUUUGGGGCUGUAAAUUUUGCUCUGAAAAAUUCGACUAUAACGGGAAAUACGAUAUUCAGUAGCUUAUCAAAAUCUGUUACAAGCUAAAUGUCUUUUAUUGUGGCAUGAUAUGCCAUAAGAGUUUUGUAAUUUAAGAAAAAAUCUAACAAUUUUGAGGUAGUUAGUUCGUCGAUUACAUCGACCGCACUACUUGACUCUAUGCUGCCGACCCUGGAGGAAUGAAAGAUAAAUAUAUCAGCGUCUAGUUCGAGAACAAAAUCUCAGCAACUUUGAAAGAAAAUAAGUUAAUAAGAUAAUUUAUGUUCAAAAAUUAGCCUUCGGUGAAAUCUUAAUGAAUAUAUUGGUUUGUAUUUUGCUAUUGUUUUGAAAUGUUAUACUUUAAUAACCUACCUAAAUAUGUAUUCCUGUUUUUCACGUAGAUAACUACUUUGUCAUCUAAUUAAACAUUUUUAUUCAACACAGAUGCCUUCAAUUUCAUUCGUCACAGAUGCCUUCACGUAUCUAGCUCUUAAUAAGCAGUCUAGGACUUCUCUAAUUACCAUCUGCCUAAUUAGAAAACAUAGAUUGAGUGAAAAUCUGUUUUUCAGAAAUGUCAAUUCAUGGGUGGGACAUUUAUCAUCGACUUAAGGUAAAGCAGUAAACAAAGAGAUGUUUUCAGGCAAAAACAACUGCGUCAUUUUUUAAUAGUGCAUAAAAGAAGGAAUAAAAGCAAAUAAAUUUGUCAAAACAUUUCAGUUUUCAUUUUGCAGCUGUAUCUGUCGGUUCCUAUUACUGUAACAUCCGCUCGAAAGCGGAUAUCCGUAAAUGGGUAGAUUUGAAAUUAAUUAAAACAAAAUUAUCCAGUUGUUCUUUUUUUAAGUAAUAAUAUUUCCUUGUGACGUUGUUCGCUAUGGAAAUUGGUAUCAAUAUGACACUACUAGACAAAAGGUUUCAUCAUUAAAACUGCGAUCUUGUGCACAUGACGUUUAGCGAACAAUACUCCUCUGUCUACUUAUGAGAUCAUCAACAUUCCAAGAUUAGAAAAGGCGGAAAAUCAAUCUAAACCCACGUUAAUAAGAUAACUGCUUAGUUUGCAAUUUUAAAAAUACUGUUUUUAAGAAUUUAUUUUUAGAGUAAAAUAUAUUUAGAUAUUAGUAUAUUUUUUGUCAGUUGAUGAGAGAUUUCUUCCCACACUAAUAUACCCCUUUGUCUUAUUAUUUUUCUAAUUCAUUAUUUUUCCUUAUUAAUUUCCUAAUUCAUUCCUGAACUCUACAUCUAACUUCAAAGGUACCACCUACACAGAUCCAUUACUUCAAACUCAACCUAUUACUUUCAUUUAAAAAUCUACCUGUGUUUUUUCUAUCUUAACAUUUUCAACCGAUAUGUUACUUUAAUCAACAGACACCAGUUUCUCUCCAGUAUUAAUAAGUAGAAAGGACAGAGUAAAAUAUAUCCCCGAAGAACUUAUCUCUCAAUUCUUUGACAAUAUAUCAGUCUUCUUGCAGAAUAUACUCAAAUAUUUAGCACACUUGUAUGCUUCAGUGAUCAUGGAUCCCUCUAACUAAAGUCUGAAAUUUCUUAAGUUUUGUGUUUGUGUGUGUGUGUGAUGGGAGAGAAAGACAUCACAGGGUUCCCGUUGCUUCUCCCGGUUUAUUUGCAGUUCACUGUGCUAGUCUCCUGCUCUCAAGUACUUAACUUUGAUGCACAGAUCCUAUUCAACCCUCUGGUAAGAGGAAUGAUUAAUGUGACAUCAGGGCAUGUCCACAUAUCUAGGAGCCAACCUUCCUCGAGUCCUGUAUUCAUUAAGCACAAAAUUGUUUCCUACUUGACCCACAAGAGGAACUUUUGUUAGGUAGUACUAUUCCUGUUCAGAGCUAAGCAGAGAGUCCUGGGUACUUUGAUAUAACUCUACACUCCAUAAAGCUCUCCCGGUUGCAGUUAAAUAUUUUGUCUGGGAUAAGGCGGCGAGCUGGCAGAAACGUUAGCACGCCGGGCGAAAUGCUUAGUGGUAUCGUCUGCCGUUACGUUCUAAGUUCAAAUUCCGCCGAGAUCGACUUUGCCUUUCAUCAUUUUGGGGUCGAUAAAUUAAGUACCAUUUACGCACUGGGGUCAAUGUAAUCGACUUCAUCCGUUUGUCUGUCCUUGUUUGUCCCCUCUAUGUUUAGCCCCCUGUGGGCAAUAAAAUAAGAAACGUUAGCACGCCGGGCGAAAUGCUUAGCGGUAUUUCGUCUGCCGCUACGUUCUGAGUCCAAAUUCCGCCGAGGUCGACUUUGCCUUUCAUCGUUUCGGGGUCGAUUAAAUAAGUACCAGUUACGCACUGGGGUCGAUAUAAUCGACUUAAUCCGUUUGUCUGUCCUUGUUUGUCCCCUCUGUGCGUAGCCUCUUUUGGGCAGUAAAGAAAUUGGUAUUUCGUCUGUCUUUACGUUCUGAGUUCAAAUUCCGCCGAGGUUGACUUUGCCUUUCAUCCUUUCGAGGACGAUAAAUUAAAUACCAGUUGCGUACUGAGGUCAAUCUAAUCGACUGGCCCCACUCUCCAAAAAUUUCGGGCCUUGAGCCUAGAGUAGAAAAGAAUAUUUUGACUGGGAUCAUAUCUGUCCCAGAGGCAGUACAUAUUAUCCUCAAGAAAAUAAAAUAAAAACAUUAUCCCUAAACUUAUUUGUCAAUAACCGUGAGUAAAAUUUUCACAAUUUGUCUGAUGAGAGUUGUUCAACUUGAAACUAUAAGACAAAGGUACUAAAAGAGUUUUGAUGACAUCACUUCCCUGACAUUCUGUGCAUAAACUAGAAACCACAUUCUCUUCACGGACGAGGAAAUAAUCGCCUCAUAAACAAGGACUUUUGUGUGCUUUGUUAAGAUUUUUUCCUUUCUUAAUAGAAAGACCAAAUUGUCUGACGUUGUCCCAUUGUUCUGAGAUAUUUCUGAAGAUAGUUCAUGUCAGUUCCUGUCACAUGUUGAUUUCUUCUUUUAGAGCUGAAUAAACAAUUCGGGAAUUAUAAAAAGUUUUCAUGAGUAACAGUUGGUAAGCGAAAAAAAUGAAUAGUUACUAAUACGAUUGUGCUAAUUGCAGUAUUUUAGACAACCAAACAGAAUCCAGAUGUUUGAGAAUUUUAUCUACUAGCUAAAAACAAACUGGGGAAAGAAUUUUAAAACAAGCAUUUGGAAAGGAUUUAGAACACUGUCUAAAAAUAUAUUACUUUCAUUUAUAUAUAUAGAAAAUUUUUAAUACCUCCUACCUUUUAACACUUGUCAUUUUAACAUAAAUCAUUGUAGUAAGAUCAAAUCUUGAUCUGACAUUUCAAACUAUAGUAAUAUUAGGAAUUAAUCCAUAAAAUGCAUCACUUAUAGCAUUUAAUUCAAUACUUUAAUAAAUUCUGCUCCAGAAAGGAGAUGAACCGUUUGUGAAAGAAAGUCAAUAUAGCUACCAAUACAAAGACUAUAUAGACUAUUGCAUUUGUUUUCAAAUUUGUGGAUAAAUUUCCAGACAAUGACUGUCAACAUUCUAAAUCUAGCAUCGAUACACUUAACACAAAUGAAAGAACUGAAGGAAAUAAAAUUACACUUAAUAUUUCGGACAGCAAAAUCCAUCCCAACAUAAAAAGUUAAGUAUUUCGCCAACUAGACUGUUCUAAUCUCAAAACCUGUUGGUCAUUGAUAUACUUGCUUGAAGCGAUGGGAGCUUUCGGACACAACAAAAGCAAAAACUAACUACAGGGGGACUUGUGAAUAAAACAUUUGAAACAGAACAAAUUUGUUCUUAUAUAUUUUCUACUGAUUUUAGUCAUUGGACAACUACCACACUGGGGCAACCAUAAACACGGACACAAACACAACCUUUCACCAUAUAUAAUAUUGAUAUAUAUAUAUAUAUAUAUAUAUACUCUUACACACACAUACAUAAACACACACACACACAUACACACACACACACACAAACGUGCUUCUUCACAGUUUUCUCCUAACAAAUUGCAAGUGUAAUGUAUUGGUCAAUCCGAGGCUAUCGUAGAAAAUAAUUGCAAUCUUUCACGCAGACUGAAGCGAACUUCUAAAACACAAGGUCACGUCUACACUAUUUACAAAUGAUUACAUUUUAAUUCAGUAUAUUUUUCAGGAGAGAUAUUCUGUCUAAAAUCAGCUACAAUGACAGAUGCUUGUUUACGUAUGUACAUUUAUAUAACCAUACAUGCGCGGGCGUAUACGUAUUAAUGGGUGUAUGUAAGUAUAUAUAUAUAUAUGCAUAUACAUACUUAACUAUAUAUAUAUGCACACACAUGUGUGUGUGUGUAUAUAUAUAUAUAAGCAUAUACAAAUGGAGAUACAUAUACACACAUUUUAUAUUAUCUAAUACUUACAUACAGUCAUAUGUUUGUAAGUACAUCUGUUUGUCUGUCUGUAUACUUAUAUAUAUAUAUAUAUAUAUAUAUAUAUAUAUAUAUAUAUAUGUAUAUGUAUAUAUAUAUAUAUAUAUAUAUAUAUAUGUAUAUGUAUAUAUAUAUAUAUAUAUAUAUAUAUAUAUAUAUGUAUGUAUAUGUAUAUACUUGUAUAUUUCUCAUACAAUUAUUCAUCGUUUUAAAAGAUUAAGUAGACGCUAAUUAACUUAAUUGUUGCUGAAAUAUAUGAUAACCUUUUGGAAAUGCCGAAACGAUUUUGCCUGGAUGCGGAAGUGUAAACAAUUUCUGGGUGAUCUGAAUUAAUUCUGAAUUCAUUGAAGUCUUUAUUUCUUUUUAGAUCUCUUCAAUUCCGCCACUAUACCUUUAGUGUUGGGUAGAAUAUAGCUAAAAUAUACUGAUGUGUCAAACGAGUGCUACUACGGCCCAGCAGUUAAUGGAGUUCUACAAUAUACAAAUAUGUCAUCGAAAUUUUCCUUUUCUUAUCUACAACAUUAAAUCAUUUCUGAAACAUGCCAUCAAAAAAGCCUCACUAUUACACAAGAGAACUUCUGUUAUAGUCACGGGCAACCUACAGCUCGCGGGAAUAAAUGAAUGGCAAGCCUAACGUAAAAUUACUUUCUCUUUUUUUAGCAGAGCGGCUCGCCGGAUUAUCAAACGUGUCUGUCGCAUGUCACCUCCUUCUCGUAAAGGGCUGACUAUGUCCAUACUUUGCUGUUAUUCACUUGCUUAGCCAUAUUUUCUUAAAGUAUCUCGCUGUCAUAUAAAAGGAAGGGGGCAACUGUUAACGUUAUCAUUAUAGAUUGAACCUGAAAAAGAUAAAAGUACAAAACACAAUGACUAAAGUUGGAACAUCAUAAUUCUAUUCAACAACAAAAACAAUAAUUCUGAAAACAAUAUCCAACGAAUAAAGAUUAAUUAUGAUAUUGUUCUUGGAAGUUGAUGCAUCCUAUCCCGAUUCCAUCUGAUCGUUGAAUCCCCACCGAAAACAUUUCAUUUGAGUAAAGCGUAAAUCUGCCUAAAGUUUUCAUGAUGAUUAUUUCAGUCGUGAUGAGUAUUUCAAAUGAACUAUAUUUUCGUUGAGUCAUAUAGUACAUAGCCAAGUAUUCUGCAAGCAUUUUUAAUCUUAACGUAAUCCCCAGACACAAUUCACCCUCUAUAGUAUGUAAUAAAGUCAGUCAUCUCAAUUUACAAGUGUAGCUUAUUCAAUGAGCUUCCACGAACUUUCUACUCAGUUUCAUUCACAUAACUUGAGUCAACCUGAAAUUAUAGUUUAAGACACAGUGAUGCGCAAAAGGAUCUAAAAAUACUUGUGUAUAGACAUUUAUUUAUUUAAAACAUUGAAGAACUUAAACUAACGAAGACUAUUCCUUUUUAAGUUAUAAUUAAGCAAAUUGAAAACUUUCACAAAGUGAUAGCUAACAAAAUAUCUUGAGACUUAUAAAAAUAAACUAAACUUCCUUGUGUAUUGCCUUAUAAUUUGCAAUAAAUACCACACAUGUAUACAAAUCAGGUUGAAAGUGUAGUGAUUGAUAUGUACUAUCAAAUUACUAACCUAUUGUACUAAUUUUUUAAAACAUUGACCAGGUAUUAUACGCACUCACAUCUUUCAUGCACACACGCGCGCGCAAACACACACACACACACACACACACACACAGAGUAUGUGGUUGAAAGGCAGCACAGAUAUUUCUCAUCAUCUCUGACACCGGGGAAAAGGAGGGAAGUAAUUCUUAGACCAGAGACCUAACUUACUGCAAAUACUAGCAACAGAAUGAGCUCUACUAAAGUUACCCAAGGAUCAGGUGAUGGUAAAAUGCCGAGUGACGGAGUAAUGUCUAGGGACCAAAACCCUUCAACAGGUUUCUUACACGGUUUCCAUUCACCAAAUUUCAUUUACAAUGACUUGAUCGACCUAAAGUUAUGGAAGAAGGCCCCUGGCCAAGAUGCCGCACAAUGAGAUUGAACCUGAUGAAGCAUCGUUUCGAAUCGGACUUCUUAACUAUAAGAGCUAAGCCUGGUUGGCAUCGGCCUAUGGUUUAUUUGGUCCUUUGGAUAGAUAAAUAAAAUAAUUUGAGUCAAUGCUUCGACCUUAAACUACGUCGUAAUAAAGAAUUAACGGUUCAUCUGAUGGUGAAACAAUUUAAUUAUCUCUAGUCUAGUCUAGUCUACUUUACUGUAAAUCUAACCAAUAAGGGUGUAUUUAUGCGAUGUUCCUAUAUGCUAAAAAUAUCAGCCAUAUCACUUCAGAUUGCACUCUGCCAUCAUAAUUAGAGAAACGGGCCGCAUGUGACAUGGCUCACUAUCAGAACCUGGUUGGAAGCACUCCGUCGGUUACGACGACGAGGGUUCCGGUUGAUCCGAAUCAACGGAACAGCCUGCUCGUGAAAUUAACGUGUAAGUGGCUGAGUACUCCACAGACACGUGUACCCUUAACGUAGUUCUCGGGGAUAUUCAGCGUGACACAGAGAGUGACAAGGCCGGCCCUUUGAAAUACAGGUACAACAGAAACAGGAAGUAAGAGUGAGAGAAAGAGUACAGCAGGGAUCACCACCUUCCCUGCCGGAGCCUCGUGGAGCUUUAGGUGUUUUCGCUCAAUAAACACUCACAACGCCCGGUCUGGGAAUCGAAACCGCGAUCCUACGACCGCGAGUCCGCUGCCCUAACCACUGGGCCAUUGCGCCUCCACAUCAGAACCAUACUAUUAAAAAGAUUGAAAGUAAUUUUUCUUUAAACUUGCCAUUCAGAAAGUAUCGUGGGCCGAAAAUUGCCCACGAUAGAACUAGACAGUACAUAUCGGAUUAUCUGGUUAUAAAAGAUAAAAAGAUAGAAAAUGUUUAUUUUUAUUCCACAUCUAUAAAAAAUGUCUCCACAUUUUUCUCAGUCUUGUACGUUUCGCUGUGUGUGCGUCUGUCGGUCUGUAUCUGUCUCUAUGUGCGUAUGUGCGUGCGUGUGUGUGUGUGUGUGUGUGUCUGUGUCUGUGUAUGUGUAUGUGCUUGUGUUAUUUCUUAAAUCAUCCAAACAACAAACGGAUCCAAUAAUGAUCCAAUAAUAGGCGCAGGAGUGACUGUGUGGUAAGUAGCUUGCUUACGAACCACAUGGUUCCGGGUUCAGUCCCAUUGCGUGGCACUUUGGGCAAGUGUCAUCUACUAUAGCCUCAGGCCGACCAAAGCCUUGUGAGUGGAUUUGGUAGACGAAAACUUAAAGAAGCCCGUCGUAUAUAUGUACGUGUGUAUAUGUAUAUAUAUAUAUGUGUAUAUUGACAACCGAUGCUGGUGUGUUUACGUCCCCGUAACUUAGCGGUUCGGCAAAAGAGACCGAUAGAAUAAGUACCAGGCUUACAAAGAGUAAGUCCUGGGAUCGAUUUUCUCGACUAAAGGCGGUGCUUCAGCAUGGCCGCAGUCAAAUGACUGAAACAAGUAAAAGAGUAGAAGAGUAGAAGAGUAAAGUUUACAUAAGUUUACUUUUAAUAAAUUAUCAAAGAUAAAGCCAUGUGAAUAACAGAAUAACAGAAUGUGAAUAACAGAAUAACGUAUGUGAAUAACAGAAACAUACAGUAAAUGGAUCGCCUUCAGUCUCGACAAUGAUUAUAUUGACUUGUCCGAUCAAACCUCUUACUCAUUGAAAUAGCGUGUAGGUGGCCUACAGCUUUCAUAGACAUGCAUAUACUUAAUGUAAAUCCUGAGGCAAAAUCAGCAUGACAAAGGGGCGACAAAUCAGGACAUUUUGAAUUAUGGGGAAAAUCCACAGUAGUCCUGGUAUUCAUACUGAAUGGAUUUUAUUUCAGAAUGAUUUGUGAAAACCAAAUACUUGUACAAUAUGUUUAGUCUUUAUGUGCGUGUGAGUGUGCAUGAAAGUGUUCAUGUGCCUGUGUGCGUGCGUGUGCAUGGACGUGUGUGCUUGAGAAUUACGUAAAGGUUAUUGUUGUUGUUGUUGUUUAGUUUAGCCACAUGUGAGUUCUCAAUCAGGCAUGGCCAAAGGCAAUUCAUUCUGUCCUUUUUCUAUGUGUACGAAACUGUACAACAUACUAUCCAAUGCAUCUUUUUCUAAGACGGUUAACUGCAAUUUGAGGGAGAUUUGUCUAUUUUUAACAGGUCAAACGACCGCGUUCACCAUCGGGUACAUUUUUCAGUGGGAUACUCAUCUACUAAUAUAAUAAUUCCACAAAUGGGCAAUACCACUGUUUGAACACUUGGGAUACGGAUCGCCAAAUCCACGGAGAAUCCAUUUAUUUACAGUUAUGUGUGUGUGUGUGUGUGUGUGUGUGUGUGUGUGUGUGUGUGUGUGUGUGUGUGUGUGUGUGUUUAUACAGCAAAAAGAAAAUUCUAAGAGAUUUGAUGGAAAUGCUGUCUUGAAAAAAGUUGUUUCGCUAUUUGAAUACAAAGAUUUGGUGAGUGUUGAUGUGGAAAAUGUUUGCUAUAACAUACGUCGUAUAUGGAAGGUCAACGACUUAGAAUCCUCUCUGUUAAAAAUAUGUUAUUGCUGCUGGGAAGAAAGCAGACAAGUGAAAAUUGUUCCAAAGUAUGUCGCAGAUAAUGAUAACGAUGACGAUGGCAAAGACGGUGUGGAUGGCGCUGGUUUAGGCAGCAAGUAAAGAGUAGUAAAUAUGAGGCGAGGAUUGAGGGUAGGCCGGUGAUAGUGCUUAUGAUAAUUAAAAAGUUCAAGGAUUAAAUGUUCGUAGUAGCAAUGUGAAGGGGUUUUGUUAUACAGAUUGAAAAUGCGAGCUGUCUUGUAAUAAUGUUGAAAGUAACUGCCAGUCAGUAA
rnacentral:lncRNA from 1 species